CUGCUUUUGCCAGUGCAGCUGAAAAGAACUUAGCCCAGCAGCCUCGGACAAUGACCUCCGUGUUUUCCUCUCUACGCGAUUGCAACAUAGAGACCUGAGCCUCUAUAGACGCUUCCCUGAAGCCAGCCCAUUGUUGUGCUAGUCACUGAUGACCCUGGUGAUUCUGGCCGCCUGCAUGCUUCUCCCGCGGUGUGGGAAACACACUUUACCUUGUGGCUCCGCCCUUCAAAGGUUCUGUUUGCCGCACGGAAGAACUGUUGACUCUGCCAAUCGGGAACGUCUCAUUGCAUCCUUUUUCCACACCAUCUGUCUGACCUGGACCCAUUCCAAACACUACGGCUCUGCUGGCAGAAUGGUCUUCCUGCUACAGAAGUUGUGUAAUCUGCUAAUUGACAGGGCAUCCCGUUUGUGCAUAAUCACGCACUCUCCCCUGUGUUCUCUGCCUCAUUGAGAAUAUGGCAUCCUUCGGAGAAGAACACCGAUGUGGUCUACCAGAGAAUUAUCCUCUACCUGGUGUACUCAUGAAGCAACGAUUUUAUUAUUAUUAUCUCUUUGUAGUAUGAGACAGAUGGCAAAGCAGGAGUUUGCUUUACUGAACGAGAUGCAGUGUUGGUCACGGCAAAUCGCCUGGAAUGGUUAAUAUCUUCAGUCGCUGUUGUGUCUAAUGAGUGUCUUCGCUUUGGUACAAGGCCUGGUCCUACACUCAGCCCCUCAUUUAAGUGCCAAGUUGUUGUCGAUCCUCUUUUUGUGCCCAUAGGCUAAGGGUAGAAGAAUCCUAGAGAAGGAAAUAUCUUUAAAAUCGCGCUGUUCAAGAGCACCCUUGGGGUCAUCCUUCUCUUAAAAUUGUGCUUUUAAAUCUUAGCGUGAGCAAACCCCACGUCAGCAGGCGUGGUCGUGCGCAACAACGAGACCCGUGUCCCUAAAGCACGAGCCGCUCUACACGGGAGCUACCGGCACAUGUUGGGGAUAGUGCACGAGUUGGGGGUGAUACCAAGGCUCUGGCCUCCACAGGUCCCUCUCUCAGCUGUACCCCUCGACCCGCGCUGAGCAAUGCUCAGCGUGAGGAAAGAUGAGAACGGAAGAGGGCUUCUUCCCUACCUUUGAAAACUUCAAAGACGUCGUUCCCAAUCUGGUUCUGAUGAUCCAUGUCUCAGUGCAAAGCAUCCAUAAAGAUCUAAAACCUGUGCACUGAUCAGAAAUCGUUUUUGGAAAUUCGGAUUUAAUCCCAUGAGCCAAAUGAUCACUACCAACAGCGAUCAGGGAAAACCAAAGUCCACAGCAAAUUUUCAUUUGGCAAAUGCAUAAAAUGUUCAAAAGAG